rnacentral:antisense_RNA from 1 species
ACGUGGAAUAAACUUGACAAAUGCUAAAGAUGCUCUUUGAUUUUUGUGUGGCAUGAGACCUCAGGCUGAAACUUCUCAUCUGAGCCAUUGAGGGGAGCCUCUCAUCUCUCCACCGAGAGGGGGAGACCAGAAUGACUGUAUCCACAGAGCGGUGCUCUUGCCCUGAAAGGAAGGAUUUGCCCCGGUUUGGAAGGAAGUGGAAUAAAUAGAACUGGAAAUGGUUCCUUCAGGCACAUUCUGUUGGGCUUCCCUCUACCUCCCCACUCUGCUGCUUUCCAGCUCUUUUUGAAUUUCUCCCUGCUGAGGAGAGGGAAGACCAGCUAGGAGAGGAUCUGGAUUGAGAAACUUGCCAUGCUUUUCUCUCAGAUGUUCUCUUUUCUCUGAAGACAGCAGGACCUCAUCCAAAGCUCUGUUUCUGGCAGGAAUCUGACACCACUUAAUCCUUGGGUAGAAACUCCCCCAAGUCUGAACUAUGUGAUUGCCUGAGCCCUGCUCCUUGUUCAUUAAGACUGCUCCUCUGAAAUGGAAUUGAUGAAUUUUCAGUGGCUAUUUGAAGCAUUUGGGAUCCAUAGGCAUCAGGGCUUGAUGCAUGGCCCUCAUCUCUGUGGGCUCCUGUGCAAUGAUUCUCAUCUGU